AUGAACGCUGGCGGCGCGCCUAACACAUGCAAGUCGAACGGCACCCCUCUCCGGAGGGAAGCGAGUGGCGAACGGCUGAGUAACACGUGGAGAACCUGCCCCCUCCCCCGGGAUAGCCGCCCGAAAGGACGGGUAAUACCGGAUACCCCCGGGCGCCGCAUGGCGCCCGGGCUAAAGCCCCGACGGGAGGGGAUGGCUCCGCGGCCCAUCAGGUAGACGGCGGGGUGACGGCCCACCGUGCCGACAACGGGUAGCCGGGUUGAGAGACCGACCGGCCAGAUUGGGACUGAGACACGGCCCAGACUCCUACGGGAGGCAGCAGUGGGGAAUCUUGCGCAAUGGGGGGAACCCUGACGCAGCGACGCCGCGUGCGGGACGGAGGCCUUCGGGUCGUAAACCGCUUUCAGCAGGGAAGAGUCAAGACUGUACCUGCAGAAGAAGCCCCGGCUAACUACGUGCCAGCAGCCGCGGUAAUACGUAGGGGGCGAGCGUUAUCCGGAUUCAUUGGGCGUAAAGCGCGCGUAGGCGGCCCGGCAGGCCGGGGGUCGAAGCGGGGGGCUCAACCCCCCGAAGCCCCCGGAACCUCCGCGGCUUGGGUCCGGUAGGGGAGGGUGGAACACCCGGUGUAGCGGUGGAAUGCGCAGAUAUCGGGUGGAACACCGGUGGCGAAGGCGGCCCUCUGGGCCGAGACCGACGCUGAGGCGCGAAAGCUGGGGGAGCGAACAGGAUUAGAUACCCUGGUAGUCCAUGCCGUAAACGAUGAGUGCUAGGUGUUGGAGGGUUUCCGCCCUUCAGUGCCGGAGCUAACGCAUUAAGCACUCCGCCUGGGGAGUACGACCGCAAGGUUGAAACUCAAAGGAAUUGACGGGGGCCCGCACAAGCGGUGGAGCAUGUGGUUUAAUUCGAAGCAACGCGAAGAACCUUACCAGGUCUUGACAUCCUCUGACCUCCCUGGAGACAGGGCCUUCCCCUUCGGGGGACAGAGUGACAGGUGGUGCAUGGUUGUCGUCAGCUCGUGUCGUGAGAUGUUGGGUUAAGUCCCGCAACGAGCGCAACCCUUAAGCUUAGUUGCCAUCAUUAAGUUGGGCACUCUAAGUUGACUGCCGGUGACAAACCGGAGGAAGGUGGGGAUGACGUCAAAUCAUCAUGCCCCUUAUGCCCUGGGCUGCACACGUGCUACAAUGGCCGGUACAGAGGGAUGCCACCCCGCGAGGGGGAGCGGAUCCCGGAAAGCCGGCCCCAGUUCGGAUUGGGGGCUGCAACCCGCCCCCAUGAAGUCGGAGUUGCUAGUAAUCGCGGAUCAGCAUGCCGCGGUGAAUGCGUUCCCGGGCCUUGUACACACCGCCCGUCACACCACCCGAGUCGUCUGCACCCGAAGUCGCCGGCCCAACCGAGAGGGGGGAGGCGCCGAAGGUGUGGAGGGUGAGGGGGGUG
rnacentral:rRNA from 1 species